rnacentral:rRNA from 1 species
UACGUAGGAGACGAGCGUUGUCCGGAAUUAUUGGGCGUAAAGAGCUCGUAGGCGGUUUGUCGCGUCGGGGAGUGAAAACACCGGGCUUAACUCGGUGCUUGCUUUCGAUACGGGCAGACUGGAGGUAUGCAGGGGAGAACGGAAUUCCUGGUGUAGCGGUGAAAUGCGCAGAUAUCAGGAGGAACACCGGUGGCGAAGGCGGGUCUCUGGGCAACAACUGACGCUGAGGAGCGAAAGCGUGGGGAGCGAACAGG